rnacentral:pre_miRNA from 15 species
GGCAAUAUUAAAUUGUGGUUGCUGUAGAGUUUUAGAAUUCCUACGCUUUACCGUGGCAUACGAAAUUCGGCAAAGCGUUUGGAUUCUGAAACCCUACCGAUCCAUUAUCAUGUUAAAAAAAA